CUUCACCGAGCCCAGCCACAACGGCGUCGCCCGGUCCUGCCCGUAGGUGGCCAGCAGGGCCUCCGCCUC
rnacentral:antisense_RNA from 1 species